UUGUUGGAGCAGCACUAUUACCCAGCCAUACACCAGCACUUAGUUUGUCAUAGGGAGCAUUUCUGAGCAGUUAUGGAGACCACUAACUAUGCAGUUGUUGCAGUGAAACUUGCACCAGUGUGUUUUCUGUGGAGAUAAAGAGAUAGUGUCCAGCAAUGAAGACCCAACUCAAGAUCUGACCUUGUAAGGCCAAUAUGAAAUAACUGUGUGGGAAAAUGGGAAAAACCUGCAGUCAGGAAUGCACGGAAAUCAUUAAAAGAACAGUGUUAAAUUAAUCUUGAAUAACUUGACAUUUAUUUUGUUUGACAUAUUUAUUCAUGGUGCAGUGAAAACAUUCUUUUUUCUCAUGGUUAUUUAAAUUUAGAAUUGAUAGGAGGGAACAUCACUAUGUAGUUUCAUGUUCAUAGUCAGAUCAAAACCCAUGUACAUGCCCAAAUGAGCAUUCGAAAAUAUCAAAAUGGUACUUGUUGUAUGUAGUGUAAGUUAAUUAAAAUAAUAAACAAAAAUAUUUAA